rnacentral:tRNA from 1 species
UCCCUAGUGGUUGAGUUGAUAAAGAAUCUGCCUGCAAUGCAGGAGACCCAAGUUCAAUCCCUGGGUUGGGAA